CAGUAGCCGCGGUAAUACGUAGGUGGCAAGCGUUGUCCGGAAUUAUUGGGCGUAAAGGGCUCGCAGGCGGUUUCUUAAGUCUGAUGUGGAAGCCCCCGGCUCAACCGGGGAGGGUCAUUGGAAACUGGGAAACUUAAGUGCAGAAGAGGAGAGUGGAAUUCCACGUGUAGCGGUGAAAUGCGUAGAGAUGUGGAGGAACACCAGUGGCGAAGGCGACUCUCUGGUCUGUAGCUGACGCUGAGGAGCGAAAGCGUGGGGAGCGAACAGGAUUAGAUACCCCUGUAGUCCCUGUCUCUUAUAC
rnacentral:rRNA from 1 species